UACGUAGGCAGCAAGCGUUGUUCGGAAUUACUGGGCGUAAAGAGUGUGUAGGCGGUGUUCUAAGUUUGUCGUGAAAUCUCCCGGCUUAACUGGGAGGGUGCGGCGAAAACUGGAAUGCUAGAGGAUGGGAGAGGUAAGCGGAAUUCCUGGUGUAGCGGUGAAAUGCGUAGAUAUCAGGAGGAACACCUGUGGUGUAGACAGCUUACUGGACAAUUUCUGACGCUGAGACACGAAAGCGUGGGUAGCAAACAGG
rnacentral:rRNA from 1 species